AUCCGGCUGACGAGUCCUAAAUAGGACGGAACUCGCGCCUUGGAU
rfam:Schistosoma haematobium scaffold1106_25, whole genome shotgun sequence.